AGAUUUGCAUGAAGCAGAGAAUGGAAUCAGUUGCUAGCCAGUGGAAUAAGGAACAGGAUUCUCUACAACCUUGUACCUUGUGCAAUAUUUUAAGCCUGUGAAAAGUGAGAUAAAAGGAGACCAUGGGUAUACAGAUAGGAGACAAUAGAGUCCAGUAAAGACCAGACAUGCUAGCAUCCCGAUGUGGAAGACUCUGUGAUGGAUGUGGUGCAGCAUGCUCUAAGACAAAACUUCUCCUAGGAGUCAGUGCAUGUGGAGCAAUGGCAGGAGGUAAUAGCAUUACUGGAGUCUAGAUCCUGCAACUGGAUCCCUGGUUGUGUGGCAAGACCCACUGAAGUUGCAGGAGAGAGGCC